rnacentral:rRNA from 1 species
CGAGGUGGCAAGCGUUGUUCGGAUUUAUUGGGCGUAAAGGGUCCGUAGGCGGCCUGGAAAGUUGGAUGUGAAAUCCCACAGCUUAACUGUGGAACUGCAUUCAAAACUUCUAGGCUCGAGUGUGAUAGGGGUAAAGGGAAUUCCCGGUGUAAGGGUGAAAUCUGCAGAGAUCGGGAGGAACACCAGUCGCGAAGGCGCUUUACUGGAUCACUACUGACGCUGAGGGACGAAAGCCAGGGGAGCAAACGGGAUUAGAUACCCGAGUAGUCC